rnacentral:sRNA from 1 species
CGAGUGGGAAGGGACUCAGACAGUGCAGGACGAGAAACGCCCGCGGCACCAAAGCCCGUCGGAGCGUCGCCCCCGCCUCUAGUUCUAGAAAGUCAGUUUCCCGGCACUGGCACCCCGGAACCUCAGGGGCUGCCGAGCUGGGGGGGCGCUCAAGCUGCGAGGAUCCGGGCUGCCCGCGAGACGAGGAGCGGGCGCCCAGGAUGGGGUGCAUGAAGUCCAAGUUCCUCCAGGUCGGAGGCAAUACAUUCUCAAAAACUGAAACCAGCGCCAGCCCACACUGUCCUGUGUACGUGCCAGAUCCCACAUCCACCAUCAAGCCGGUGAGUAGGGGAGGUCCCAGUUUCCCUGGGGGCUGAUGGAUGCUGCCCCAACAUUGCCCUAACAGCCUCCUGUCUUCCCAAGGUUGGGCAGGGUGAGCUUGGGGUGAAAGGGAGCUGACUGGCCACCAACAGUGUCCUGACUCGACUCUCCGGGACGCAGCGCCAGCCAGCAUGCAUAGGGGCAAGGAAGUCACCUCUCUUUCCUGCAGCCCAGGCUUGGCCCCUCAGCCUGGGCUCCACCAAACAGGUGUGAGUGAGCAUCUCAGGCCUCCGGCCUGGGCAGAAGCAAAAUCAGUGCUGAGAAACAAGUGAACAGUAAUGAUAGCAGCUGAAGUGACAAUGUAAUGGUAGUAUCAGCAGCAUUGCAAAAAUACAGUGACAAUUGUCAUACUAAUAGUACCAACCAUAAUUGUGUGAGUAUAAGACCAAGAGUAGCAGCAGGAACAACAGCAAGAGUUGUAAAAAGAGAAGCAGUCAUGCUAGGAGAGGUAUUUACCAACUUCUUUUAUGUUUAUACAAAGCUGACUAUGAACCAAGCACUGUUUUAAGCCUUUACAGUUAUUAACACCCUAAUCAUCACAAUAAUCCUAUUGUGUGACACACAAAUACAUUCUUCUUGAAAAUAAAAACACAGGCCAGGUGCAGUGGCUCACACUUGUACUCCCAGCAUUUUGGGAGGCUGAGGCAGGAGGAUUGCUUGAGCCCAGGGGUUCGAACUGCAUGAGCUAUGAUCAUGCCACUGCACUCCAGCCUGGGUGACAGAGUGAGAUUCCAUCUC